rnacentral:rRNA from 1 species
CACAGUGUAGCAAUACAUGGGUGGCGACCGGCAAACGGGUGCGGAACACGUACGCAACCUUCCUUCAGGCGGGGAAUAGCCCAGAGAAAUUUGGAUUAAUACCCCAUAAUAUUUUGAGAUGGCAUCAUCUUAUUAUUAAAGCUACGGCACCUGGAGAUGGGCGUGCGGCUGAUUAGGUAGUUGGCGGGGUAAUGGCCCACCAAGCCUACGAUCAGUAGCUGAUGUGAGAGCAUGAUCAGCCACACGGGCACUGAGACACGGGCCCGACUCCUACGGGAGGCAGCAGUAAGGAAUAUUGGUCAAUGGACGCAAGUCUGAACCAGCCAUGCCGCGUGGAGGAUGAAGGUCCUCUGGAUUGUAAACUUCUUUUAUCUGGGACGAAAAAAGGGUUUUCUAACUCGUCUGACGGUACCAGAUGAAUAAGCACCGGCUAACUCCGUGCCAGCAGCCGCGGUAACACGGAGGGUGCAAGCGUUAUCCGGAUUCACUGGGUUUAAAGGGUGCGUAGGCGGGCAUUUAAGUCAGUGGUGAAAUACCUGAGCUUAACUUGGGAACUGCCAUUGAUACUAUUUGUCUUGAAUGUCGUGGAGGUUAGCGGAAUAUGUCAUGUAGCGGUGAAAUGCUUAGAUAUGACAUAGAACACCUAUUGCGAAGGCAGCUAACUACGCGAAUAUUGACGCUGAGGCACGAAAGCGUGGGGAUCAAACAGGAUUAGAUACCCUGGUAGUCCACGCCCUAAACGAUGAUUACUCGACAUUAGCGAUACACUGUUAGUGUCUGAGCG